rnacentral:lncRNA from 1 species
UUAGUGAUGCAGGAAGUUGAGGCAGGAGGUUCAUAAGUUCCAGGCCAUCCUGGGCAAAUUUAGUGAGACCCUGCUUCAAAAGAGGGCUUGGGAGGGCUUGAGUUGUGGCUCAGCGGUAAAGUGCUCACUUAGCACAUGCAAGGCCCUGGAUUUGAUCCUCAGCACCACAUAUAAAUAAAUAAAAUAAAGGUAUUGUGUCCAACUACAACUAAAAAAUAUAUAUUUUUUAAAGGGCUGGGGAUGUAACUCAGUGGUGGAUCUCUCUGGGUUAAAUCCCUAGUACCACCACUACCAAAAGUAUUUGCUCUUCUUAUCAGAAAUUAAUACACAAGGGGGAAAAAUGAAUACAAAGUGGUCACUGCUAAGUACUAUUGGAAAUAACUGUAAAUUUGAAAGUUGAAGACGAUUAAUCUUGUCACUAUGCAGGUCUAGAUUCUGAUGCUCCUUGCUGCAGUAAUAUGCCUAGUGAUAUCUGGAAUAUGAUUUGGGGCCUAAACAGCCUCAAACUCUGUGAAGAUGAGUUCCAGACAGAAGUUGGAGACAAGUUCUUCUGUUUCUGGGAGAAGAUUAUUAGAAGGUGCCCUGCCUAAAAACUUGCAGGGCAGCACAGCAUCACCUCUUAAGGCAAUGAAAGAAGAGGCAGUGGUGGAAGGCAUUGCCUUGAACUGGCAGUGGGCAUGUACAGAGCAAGAAGUUGAGCAUCUGCCUGCAGAGCAAGCAGGCCAGGCCCCCAGCCACUUGCCCACCUCAUUAAGAAACUGGUCUCUGCACAACAGCCCCAUCAGCUCUUCACCUCAGUAAGCCCAUCUCCACUGCAACUGCUUCAUAGUGAUUUCCAGAAGAAUUCUUCACCAUAUUCUUGGCCCUAACUCUAGUUUAUUGUCAUGCCCAAGUGGGAUGGCUCUCUUACUGCAAAUUCACCCAUAGUCCUCUGGGGAAAAAAUGAAAUGUCUUAUUCAAUAGUACCAUGGUUUUAUGUUUAUUAUUUGUGUGUGUGUUCCUAGGAAUUACACCCAGGGACUUUGGAAUACUAAACACAGUGCUGUAACAUUGAGCUACAGCCCAAGGUUUUUAAGGACUUUUAUUA